AAUAAGAAGCCUAGGAAUAACAAUACAGGGCAUUUCAUGCACUGUAAUAAGAAGCCUAGGAAUAACAAUACAGGGCAUUUCAUGCACUGUAAUAAGAUGAAGAAUAAGAAACGAAGGAAUAACAAUACAGGGCAUUUCAUGCACUGUAACUAGAAAAUGCAUUUCCUGAAGGAAAUACCAGUGCAUGAAAUGCAAAAGUUGAGGAAAGGAAGAAGAAAAGGAAGAAGAGUGAAAGAAGAAAGGAAAGAAGAGUAAAAGAAGGAAAGAAGAAAGGAAAGAAGAGUGAAGAAAGGAAAGAAGUGGAAGAAGGAAAGAAGAGUGGAAGAAGGAAAGAAUAAAGGAAAGAAGAGUGAAGAAAGGAAAGAAGAAAAGAAUGAAGAGUGGAAGAAGGAAAGAAGAAAGGAAAGAAGAGUGAAGAAAGGAAAGAAGAGUGGAAGAAGAAAAGAAGAAAGGAAAGAAGAGUAAAAGAAGGAAAGAAGAGUGGAGGAAGGAAAGAAGAGUGGAAGAAGGAAAGCAGAAAGGAAAGAAGAGUGGAAGAAGGAAAGAAUAAAGGAAAGAAGAAAAGAAAGAAGAGUGAAAGAAGAAAGGAAAGAAGAGUGAAAGAAGAAAGGAAAGAAGAGUGGAAGAAAAGAAAGAAGGAAAGAUGAAAGGAAAGAAGAGUGAAGAAAGAAAAGAAGAGUAGAAGAAGGAAAGAAGAGUUGAAGAAGGAAAGAAGAAAGGAAAGGAGAGUGGAAGAAGGAAAGAAGAGUGGAAGAACGACAGAAGAAGAGUGGAAGAAGGAAAGAAUAAUAUUCCUAGUUAUACAGUUAAAUGGAGAGGGACAGUGUUGAGGUGAAAUGAACAUUUCGGUUGACUGUGCUUAAAAAACUGCAAGUCCCACAAUGCACCACUAGCAGGCCAGUGCAGCCUGCUCAUUAUUUUAAGUGGGAACACCUGAGAAGGAAAGGAGGUCUCUCAGUAAACACUCCAGCAAACAUUUCAGCAGAAAGAGAGACACACGAAAAGGAUCUACUUGUGGUGCAACCAAAGAAGCCACUGGUUUUCAACCUAAAUGAGCCAACCAGACCAAACGAAC
ensembl:lncRNA